CCUAGAGUGUACACUACAUGACUUGAGCCCCUUAAGAGAAAAUGUGCAAUAAAAAUUGUAUUAUUAUCAUUGUAAUUGUCCUCAACCCUAAAAUGUAGUGUUAGUUAACGUUAUGUUAAUAUUGGCGAAACUAGUCUAUAUUAUUUCUGCUUAUUCAUAUCGAGUUAUUGUUGCAUUAAAAUUAGGAAUAUAGGGAAAGAAAUCCUUGCAUUCCAGUGAGCUGUUUUCUGCAUGUCUG